AACGAACGCUGGCGGCAGGCUUAACACAUGCAAGUCGAGCGCCCCGCAAGGGGAGCGGCAGACGGGUGAGUAACGCGUGGGAAUCUACCCAUCUCUACGGAAUAACGCAUGGAAACGUGUGCUAAUACCGUAUACGUCCUUCGGGAGAAAGAUUUAUCGGAGAUGGAUAAGCCCGCGUUGGAUUAGCUAGUUGGUGGGGUAAAGGCCUACCAAGGCGACGAUCCAUAGCUGGGCUGAGAGGAUGGUCAGCCACACUGGGACUGGGACACGGCCCAGACUCCUACGGGAGGCAGCAGUGGGGAAUAUUGGACAAUGGGCGCAAGCCUGAUCCAGCCAUGCCGCGUGAGUGAUGAAGGCCCUAGGGUUGUAAAGCUCUUUCACCGGUGAAGAUAAUGACGGUAACCGGAGAAGAAGCCCCGGCUAACUUCGUGCCAGCCGCCGCGGUAAAAC
rnacentral:rRNA from 1 species